CACCUGACUGUCCAGCUUAUAAGCUUAGGUGAAAAGUUCUUCUGUUUUCCCUUGAUAUCUAUUUAUCUUGAAUUUUGUAAUGAUAAAUUCUAAGACAAUGAAUAACCUUCUUCAAUAGUGGUCUCCUGAUAGAUGUUGAAAUCUUUAUUCUUGGCUCUGGUGUUCCAGAAUGGCUCCAGUUAUGUCUGAAUGCUCAUCAUCCCCACCCCUGUGGGCCACUUUGCACACACUAGAUAAAAGACUGAAGCAGAAGCAUUUCAGCCAUAGUGCCUCAAUAAACUCAUGAGGCUCUCUAUCCAUUUUCCUUCCUUUUCUUGUCCUUUAGCCAGAAAAUCAAAGGACUUUUACACUGCUUUUAUACAAUUGUUUGAGUUUCAUGAAUUCUCAGUAGCAAGAAUUGGGCUGAGUACUGGAAAUGCUUGGACCACUGUGGUCAUCAGUCAGCAGAAAAAUGUUAAGAACAAGGUCGGCUCUUAUUAAGAGUUUUUGGGAUAAUAAGCGAUUCCAUUACAAAGGCCUAUUAUCUGGAUUAUUGGGAGAAUUUAUGAUUGAUCUAUGCUUCUUGAUAUCAGAGAGGACAAGUAGUUUUACCUCAGACAAUUUCACUCUCAUUACAUACAGGAAUGGAAGAGUCUGUAUUGUUUAAAGUAUCUUUUUUAUUACUAUUUUCUCUAAAAUCCCUCCAUCCCAAACCUCCAUCCAUUACAAUUUGAACACAAAUAUCCUGUACCUCUGUGUCUUGUUCUAAAAUAGGAUCUUUAAAUAUGUCAUCUUAAAGUAGACACGUUCCAAAUGAUUCAUAUGCAAGCAUUAGGUAGGAAAUAUUUUUUAUGUAAAUUAAUAAAAAUACUCUAGCAACAUGGAAAUAUUUUGGUCAUGCUUCCCACUUGCAACAAUUAUAAUUAUAUUGCAAAAUAUUUAAAAAACCAGUGUUUUGAUGGCAUGGGGGUAUCUAUCUAAAACAGGGCAGAAAUUGAGGAAAUUAGAUUCUUACAAAAAUGGAAGUACAUGGGAUCUAAUCAUUCAUAACUUUUUUAUUUGAGGGUAAACCCUAAAUUCCUAGGUACAGUAUAGUGAAGUAAUAGUCUUAAUUAUUUGAUGUGUCUGAAUACAGAGCUCAAGGACAAUAGAGUAGACUUUAAAAACAAAAACUAGAUUAGCAGAAGUCCAGAGAAAAAAGCAGAAGAGAGGAGUUGAACUCUAAAAUUUCUUUGUAAAUUUUUUCCAAAUCAUUCCUCGAUCACUGAAUUAUGCACUUGGCAAGGAAACUGCAGGGUUCCUAUAAAACCAAUAACUGAAUCUGACAGAGCUAAUUGAAGAUUUCUGCUGCAUUCCACUCCAGAGAAAACAAAGUUUGGAAUCUGUUACAGAGAUGUUAAUAGUCUCCUAGAACAAAAAUUAACUCUCUUUAAAGCAAUAUAGCUAAAUUGAGGUUUCUACAAUAUACCAAUAAAAAUGUCUAUUUUAAGGCAAAAAAUUAUCAGACAUAAUAAGAAAUAGAAAAGUAUAACUCAUGCUCAUGAAAACAAUUAUGAGUUAGUUGUUCAAUAGAAACAGAUCCUCAGAUGACCCAGAUACCAGAAAAAAAACCAGAAAAUAGCUUUAAAAGAGCUAUUUUAAAUAUGUUCAGGAACCUAAAGAAAAUAUAGUCAAAAUGAGUCAAAAUGUAAUGUCUCUCUGAAGAGAAAUGACAAUUAUAAAAAAUAAAAACAAAUGGAAAUACUAGAAUUUUAAAGUGUAUUCAGUAGUUCCCAUUGUGGCUCAGCAGGUUACAAACUAAUAUCCAACUAUUACCCAACUAAUAUCCAUGAGGGUGCAGGUUCCAUGCCUUGACUUUUUCUCAGUUCAUUAAGGAUCUGGUGUUGUCUUGAGCUGUGGUGUAGGUUUCAGACAUGACUUGGAUCCCACAUUGUGGCUGUGGUGUAGGCGGGCAGCCACAGCUCUGAUUUGACCCCUAGCCUUGGAACUUCCAUAUGCUUAAGAUGUGGCCCUAAAAAGAAAAACAAAACAAAAAAUAAAGUGUAAUCAGUGAAAGAAAAAAAUUCACUGAAUGGGCUUGAUAGUAGUGUUUAGAAUGCAGAAGAAGCCAGUGAACUUUGAGAGAUAGCAAGAGAAAUUAUCCAGUUUGAACAACAGAGUCUCGGUAUUUGAUGGGACAAAUUUAAGAGGUCGAAAGUUCAUGUAAUUUGGAGGCCUAGAAGAUGAAGAAAGAGACAAUAAAACAGAAAAGGUAUUAAAAAGAUAAUAGUGGAAAAUUUCCCAAAUUUGAUGUAAAUUUCUCUCUGCAGUUUGAAGGAGCAAAGUGAAUGUUAAACAAGAGAAAUACAAAGAAAACCAAGCCUAAAUCUUUCAUAGCACAACUAAUAAGACGCAAAGGUAAGGAAAGGAGCCUAAGAAAACUGAAACAUUAGAUGCAAGGAAAAAAUAAGAAUGAUACUGCUCUCUUUUAAGAAAAAAGUAGGAGGCCAGGAAGAAAUGGAGCAAAAUAUUUAUAGUACUAAAAGGAAACAAAAAUAUGAAAACAGCAAUCUAUGUUUAGCAACUCUAGUCUUUAAACUGAACUUGAAAUAAAGACAUUUUCAGAUAAAAGAAAACUAAGAAAAUUAUUUUUCCAGGAGAUCUGAAUUACAAAAAAUGCUAAAGGAUAUUUGGGCUAAAGUGAAGUAACAUGAGAUAGAAAUUCAGAUUUACAUUUAGAAAUAAAGACCACAGGAAAUAAUAAAUAUGUGGGAGAGAAAGUUCUAAUUUUACAAAAAGACAUAUGGAUGUUGGAAAUUAAAAUUAUUACACAAUACACACUUUAUAGCAAUAGCACAAAGAUUGUAGAGAUAAUUGGAAUAAUACUGUUAUAAGGUUUAUACAUUCUACACUAAGUACUGCAAUAUUAACACUAAGUAGAUCAUGACAAGUAAAAGACUGAAAUCCCAAAAUUCAGUCAACAAAGCUAUUUAAGUCAAUAAAUUGCAGGAAUGAGGGAUGGAGGAAUUAAAAAAACUGAUAGAAUAAAGAAAAACAAAUAGUAAAGGGGACCUAAGUUCAAUGAUGUCAAUAAUUUUAUUAAUUAGGAUAAACCCUAUAAUUAAAAAGCAGAUUGCCAGUGUGGAUUUAAAAGAAAAUCCGGGAGUUCCCAUUGUGGCUCAGUGGUUAACGAACCCAACUAGCAUCCAUGAGGACAUGGGUUCGAGCCUUGGCCUUGCUCAAUGGGUUAAGGAUCCUGUGUUGCUGUG
rnacentral:lncRNA from 1 species